CCUUGUACACACCGCCCGUCACACCAUGGGAGUUGGCUUUACCCGAAGGCGUCGCGCUAACCCGCAAGGGAGGCAGGCGACCACGGUAGGGUCAGCGACUGGGGUG
rnacentral:rRNA from 1 species